UACAGAGGUGGCAAGCGUUGUUCGGAAUUACUGGGCGUAAAGGGCGCGUAGGCGGCCAUCUAAGUCAGACGUGAAAUCCCCCGGCUUAACCUGGGAACUGCGUCUGAUACUGGACGGCUUGAGUAUGGGAGAGGGAUGUAGAAUUCCAGGUGUAGCGGUGAAAUGCGCAGAUAUCAGGAGGAACACCUACGGCGAAGGCAGCUCGCUGGGACGGUACUGACGCUGAGACGCGAAAGCGUGGGGAGCAAACAGG
rnacentral:rRNA from 1 species